AAUCAACGCUGGCGGCGUGCCUCAGACAUGCAAGUCGAACGAUUAAAGCUCUCUUCGGAGAGUGCAUAGAGUGGCGCACGGGUGAGUAACACGUAAGUAAUCUACCUUCGAGUGGGGAAUAACGUCCGGAAACGGACGCUAAUACCGCAUAAUGCAGCGGCAUCGCAAGAUGACAGUUGUUAAAGAUUUAUCGCUUGAAGAGGAGCUUGCGGCAGAUUAGCUAGUUGGUAAGGUAAUGGCUUACCAAGGCUACGAUCUGUAACCGGUCUUAGAGGACGGUCGGUCACACUGACACUGAAUAACGGGUCAGACUCCUACGGGAGGCAGCAGUCGGGAAUUUUGGGCAAUGGGCGAAAGCCUGACCCAGCAACGCCGCGUGAAGGAUGAAGUAUUUCGGUAUGUAAUCUUCGAAAGAAUGGGAAGAAUCAAUGACGGUACCGGAGGAAUAAGCCCCGGCUAACUUCGUGCCAGCCGCCGCCGUAAAAC
rnacentral:rRNA from 1 species